GUUGUCAAAGUGGCUGUGACAUG
rnacentral:miRNA from 1 species